rnacentral:rRNA from 1 species
UACAGAGACUGCAAGCGUUUAUUCGGAUUCACUGGGCGUAAAGGGUGCGCAGGCGGCCAAGUGUGUUAGGCGUGAAAGCCUGAGGCUUAACCUCAGAAUUGCACCUAAAACUACAUGGCUAGAGCAUUGGAGAGGGUAGCGGAAUUCACGGUGUAGCAGUGAAAUGCGUAGAUAUCGUGAGGAACACCAGAGGCGAAGGCGGCUACCUGGACAAUUGCUGACGCUCAGGCACGAAAGCGUGGGGAGCAAAAAGGG